CGGGAUUUUAUUUGUAGCAAUACCGAUAAAAUCUAGUGGCGGACGGGUGCGUAACACGUGAGCAAUCUGCCGGGAAGUGGGGGAUAACUCGCCGAAAGGCGAAUUAAUACCGCAUGUGGCCAAGGAAGACAUCUUCCCAAAGCCAAAGUCGCAAGACGCUUCCUGAUGAGCUCGCGGCCUAUCAGCUAGUUGGUGAGGUAACGGCUCACCAAGGCUAUGACGGGUAGCUGGUCUGAGAGGACGACCAGCCACACUGGAACUGAGACACGGUCCAGACACCUACGGGUGGCAGCAGUCGAGAAUUUUUCACAAUGGGGGAAACCCUGAUGGAGCGACGCCGCGUGGAGGAUGAAGGUCUUCGGAUUGUAAACUCCUGUCAAAUGGGAACAAGAAAGUGAUAGUACCAUUAGAGGAAGAGACGGCUAACUCUGUGCCAGCAGCCGCGGUAAUACAGAGGUCUCAAGCGUUGUUCGGAUUCAUUGGGCGUAAAGGGUGCGCAGGCUGCGGGGUAAGUCGGAUGUGAAAUUUAGGGGCUCAACCUCUAAACUGCAUUCUAUACUGCUCUGCUAGAGGACUGUAGAGGAGAUUGGAAUUCACGGUGUAGCAGUGAAAUGCGUAGAUAUCGUGAGGAAGACC
rnacentral:rRNA from 1 species